rnacentral:lncRNA from 1 species
AUGGAUGAAAGGGACAGACGAGAGAGGAGGAAGGGCAGGCAUCUUUGGGAAAAGCUGUGCUGGUUUUGGCUCCAGCCAGCAGUUUGCAUAGAAAGUAGUUUAUUGUCAGGGAGAGCCGUGGAUACCUGCCAGCUCUCAGAGCCCUGCCUGUGCAGCAGAGCUUUGUGCCAGGCACAGGCACUGGUGACAGAGCUGUCCCUUCUUCUGGGCCAGUCCCUGCCCUUCAGCUCUUCCCUGCUCCAUCCCUGCCCUUCAGCUCUUCCCUGCUCCAUUCCCUGCCCUUCAGCUCUUCCCUGCUCCAUCCCUGCCCUUCAGCUCUUCCCUGCUCCAUUCCCUGCCCAUCAGCUCUUCCCUGCUCCAUUCCCUGCCCUUCAGCUCUUCCCUGCUCCAUUCCCUGCCCAUCAGCUCUUCCCUGCUCCAUUCCCUGCCCUUCAGCUCUUCCCUGCUCCAUUCCCUGCCCAUCAGCUCUUCCCUGCUCCAUUCCCUGCCCUUCAGCUCUUCCCUGCUCCAUUCCCUGCCCAUCAGCUCUUCCCUGCUCCAUUCCCUGCCCUUCAGCUCUUCCCUGCUCCAUUCCCUGCCCAUCAUUUCUUCCCUGCUCCAUUCCCUGCCCUUCAGCUCUUCCCUGCUCCAUUCCCUGCCCAUCAGCUCUUCCCUGCUCCAUCUGCCUGCCCAUGAGCACCUUCCAUCUCCGCUGUCUUUCCUCACCCCAGCAUUGCUGAGCCAUGCCCUCCAGUGCAGUGGAUGAGUUUCUUCUCCUCUUCCAGCGCUGGCUUUGGGUGCUCUUGUGUCAUUUACUGUGGAAAUGCUCCCAUGGGACCCCAUCUGCACACCAGCCUGCUCUGGCCCUGCAGGAGCUGGUGUCUGCCCCGAGGUGCUGCUGGUCUGUUUUGUCGGGGUUCCUGCUCCUUGCUGCUGGGAAUGAAUGCUCCUGUGGGAUCAGAGUGCAGCUGGGAACGUGGGGGUGUUGUUCAGCCCUGUAAGGUGGUGCUCUUCACGCUGGGAAGUGCAGCCAGGAUGCUUUUGGCUGUGUUUCUGCAGCACUGAGAGCUGUAAACUCCAGCCAGAGUUGUUCCAUCUGGAACAGCGUCAGGAGCUCCUGAGCUCCCACGUGGGGAGCUGGGUCACACACUGAGCCUUUCCAGGAGCUCUGAGAUCAGUUCUGCUGCCUCUCCACCUCACUUUCAGGCUCAUAGCUGGGGCAGGUGAGCAGCCCAGCCUGGCAGGGACAGAGCUCCCAGCAGGCUCCCACCCGUGUGCCCCCUGUCCCGUGGAAAGGGACACAGCCCCUGCACGCUGCCUGCAUUGUCUCAGCUCUGUUGUGAAAUGCAGGGCAGGCACCGAGACAGGGAAAAAUGACUCAUGUGCUCGUUGUCCCUGGGAAUAUCUCCCAGCAGAGCUCUCCAGAACCUGGGUUCCGAGUGUGUGAUGUAAAACUGGUGCUGGGUAAUUGGGGCUGUGGAAAAUACCUCGUGGCGACGGUCGGUGCGUGGAGAAAUGAUCCGCUCACUUUGAAAUGCGCCGCGGUGCAGAACUUUGGGAAAACUCUUCAUUGUGCCAGGGCUUCAGAGGAUGUCACAGUGUUAUUUUAGCAUAAAGCCAGCAGCUAGAACAUUAAUAAGAAAAGUGUUCUGUCUGGCUUGCCCAAAACGGCGCUGCAGCUGAGGAGGGAUGUUUAGCAGUCUUCACCUCUGCUGAGAAAAUGAAAAAAAGCUCUUUUGUCACGGCUCCCAUUAAAAAUCACCCAAUCCUGAAUAACUACGGUUGAGAAAGGAAACUUUUAGCUCUGUUUUUGGUAGGUUUUCCUGCUUUUCCUUGGGAAGAUGAGUUUGGCCAUGGUGGUGGUGGCCUGGCAGCCGUGCUGUGGGAUGCUGUGGCUGGGGUGAUGUCCCUGGUGCUCCUGCCAGCACCCAAAGCAGGGCAGGCCUUGAGCAGCCCCCACCACACUGCCAGCACAUGGGGAAGCCACAGGGACCCUCUUAUGUGUCACCCAGUGUCCUUGCCAGCAAGGUUAAAAUCUCAACGCGUCCCUGUUGUCACGGGGAAAUCCUUGGAUGGCCAAAGCUUUGGGAAAGGUUCGUCUCUCAGUUCCAUUUUCUGUUGCCCUGUUGAGUGAAACGUGUUUUAGAGUGGAGCUGCCCCAGGCAGGAAAGCUGGAGGUGCCACAGGAGAGCUUUUCCCAUUCUCUGCUCGGCCGUGGAGCAGCUCUGUCAGUAUUGACCCUGAUUUCUGCCAGGGCUGCAUGGAGCCUUUAUAAACACUCCCAGUGCCAAAUUAAGCUUUUCCCCUUCCAGAGUCACCUUAGAUGACUUUGUUCCUCUCUACCCCUCGCUCGGAGGAGUUUGCCAUCCGAGGGAGCAGAGCUCUGGGGCCGUGGCAGCCCCUGUGUCCUCCCUCCCUCGUGCCCCUGCUCUGUGCAGGGACACAGAGAAGCCUUGCCUGCUUGGAGGAGAGCUCCUCUGCUUGGAAAGCAGCUUGUGUGUGGAACUGAAACUGCUUUGCUCAGGCUACCAGAGGGUUUGUUGUUAGGGGAGAUCCCUGAUGCUGCAUUCCGGCUCGUGCUCCUUCCUGGAAAUCCAGUCUGCUUCCAUCAGCUUAAUCUUGCUGGUGCCCACAGACUAAACUGACAGCAAAUUCCAUUCUCUGGCAUUUGUAAAGCAUUGAAAGGACAAGGUGCUUGCAGCUUUAAAUGAUGGCAUUUGGUUCACAAGGCAAAUGUUUUUUUUUUUUUUUGCUGAGAAACCAGGGUUGCUCCAGGCUGCCCGUGCAGCUGCAGCUCUUCCCCCAGACAUGCACCCAGGGGACCCCUUUGUGUCCUGGGAGCACUGGGCUCCCAGUUACUGCCGGUGGCCUGGCGUGCAGAUUCCCAGGAACGUCUCCCAAGCAUUCCCUCCUUGCUGCUGGACACGGAGUGGCCUGAGCAGAGCGUGGUCUGGGCAAGGCGCACGAGUCUCAGGUCAGGCAGCUCUCUCACCUGGAUGUGCCAGGGAACCCAGCAAAAGGGUUGGGACCUGCAGGGAACUUUUCCUCUGUCCUUAAUCACCCUCUGAGGCACUGGCCCAAGAUUUGAAUCUCUCUCCCGCUGCUUUUUUGCCUGUGAUCUGUUUCCAAAGUAGUGGCCGAAACUGGGAAUAAAUCAGAAGUCCUUGUGAGAGAGCCCAUGCUCUGCUUGGUGGGAAGGAGGUGGGUGGGCGGGAGGAAAUCCCUCCCAAAUUCUGUUUUGUUGCUGGAGGGCUGCAAGGUCUCCACGGCAAGGGGGCUGAUUUGGUGUGUGGAUACCUUCUGCCUUAAAAUCAAAACGGGAAGGGUUUUCUCUUCCUCCCUUGGGUCUGAAGCAGCGUAGGAGGCGGGGAGCUGACACAUGAGCAUGUGUGUCCAGCUGAUUAGGCAGACAUGGCACGGCCAGGGCCGGCCAGCCUGGUGCCAGGAGUGCUGUGGAAGUCGGCCAGCUGUCUCUGCUGACACGGAGAGCUGCACCGAGCGGCCGAGGCAGAGCUGAGGGGGAGAGCGGAGCCGGGGCCGGGUCCAAGGCGGUGACACAAAGCAGUGCCCUCCUCUUUGGGGGUAUGCCUUGCUGCUAGGAGCGUGGAAGUGAGUCAGAGGCGUGCUCUGGCUUCGGGCAGGCGGUGCUGGGUGGGGAAACAGAGCUGCUCUUGCAGGAUGAGCUUGGGCAGCCGUGCUGGGUGGGGAAACAGAGAUGCUCUUGCAGGAUGAGCUUGGGCAGCCGUGCUGGGUGGGGAAACAGAGAUGCUCUUGCAGGAUGAG